ensembl:snRNA U6 U6 spliceosomal RNA
GUGCUUACUUUAGCACCAUAUGCACUAAAAGCCUGUCACGAUACAGAGACAAGAUUAGUAUGACCCUUGUGCAAAGAUGACACACAAAUUUAAGAAGUGUUCCAUACUUUU